UAGGGGACCUUAGAGGGCAACCCUCCACACUGGAACUGAGACAAGGACCAGACUUCUACGGAAGGCAGCAGUGAGGAAUAUUGGUCAAUGGAGGAAACUCUGAACCAGCUAUGCCGCGUGUAGGAUGACAGUCUUUUAGAUUGUAAACUACUUUUACAUAGAAAUAAAAGUUACUACGGGAUGGUAACCUGAAGGUACUAUGAGAAUAAGUGUCGGCUAAUUUCGUGCCAGCAGCCGCGGUAAAACGAAAGACACAAGCGUUAUCCGGAUUUAUUGGGUUUAAAGGGUGUGUAGGUUGUUUAUUAAGUCAGUAGUGAAAGCUUACAGCUUAACUGUAAAAUUGCUAUUGAUACUGAUAAUCUUGAGUCAGAUUGGAGCGUCUGGAAUGUAUGGUGUAGCGGUGAAAUGCAUAGAUAUCAUACAGAACACCAAUAGCGAAGGCAGGAUGCUAAAUCUUCACUGACACUGAGGCACGAAAGCGUGGGUAGCAAACAGGAUUAGAUACCCUGGUAGUCCACGCCCUAAACUAUGAUCACUAGCUAUUGGAAAAAUUAUAUUCAGUGGCCAAGCUAAAGCGAUAAGUGAUCCACCUGGGAAGUACGAUCGCAAGAUUGAAACUCAAAGGAAUUGACGGGGUUUCGCACAAGCGGUGGAGCAUGUGGUUUAAUUCGAUGAUACGCGAGGAACCUUACCAAGGUUUAAAUGUAUUACGAAUAAGCUGGAAACAACUUAGUCUAUAAGACGUAAUACAAGGUGCUGCAUGGUUGUCUUCAGUUCGUGCUGUGAAGUGUUUGGUUAAGUCCUAUAACGAGCGCAACCCUUAUUGUUAGUUGCCAUCGGGUAAAGCCGGGGACUCUAACAAAACUGCCGGUGUAAAUCGAGAGGAAGGUGGGGAUAAUGUCAAAUCAUCAUGGCCUUUAUGCCUUGGGCUACACACGUGCUACAAUG
rnacentral:rRNA from 1 species